rnacentral:lncRNA from 1 species
UUUCAAGGAACAACAGAGAGAUGGUAUUUCCAGACAAGGGAAUAAAUUCCCGGAAGCAACUGGCCAAGGAAUGAAAAUCCUGGAGAACAGAGUGGAAGAAACGCGUAUUCCACAUUUCCUGUUGAUUUUCUUUCCUCCCUAAACACUGACCUCCCGCAGUCUUCACUAGCAGGUGAGGUCACCUGUAGAGGUCAUGCUGCGGAGUCCCGAGUCCCUGAUUAUAUUCAAGACGUGGAGCUCUCUUUUUCCCGUCCUGCUUUCUUUCCAGAAGUGCCUCAGAUGCAUCCUCCCCUUCUCUUUUCUCCACAUGAAGACGUCACUGACCAUCUUCUCUGGUUUGCUUUCCAACACCGAGCACCAAGUGCUUCAAAGGUCAUGGUGCCCUGGGGCCGAGAGCUACUUAUGUGGGCAUUUAUAACCAAAUAAAUAUUGAAAUGGCCCACAAAGCAAAUGUUAGUGGUAACCAACAGCGGUAAAACUGGGUACAUGGGACCCUGAACCUUCUUGAAUAUUCCCCAUGAGACCCUGGGCCGACCUUCGGGCUUUCCAGUGUGCUCAGAAAAUCCUCCGUGGCUCCCAGCCCCAGCUUAGUCUUUCAACGGUCCUCGGACUGAAGCAAGAGACAGGGAAGGAAUUGUCCAAGGUUUUCCAGCAUGCUGAGAACACUUACCAUGGUGGAGCCUGGCACGUACUGGCUCUUUGAUGCAUGUGUAUUGGUCUCAAGUAGCCAGAAGCAUCUCCUCUGAGAGCCCUUGCCCUCCAGUUUAAAUGGCAAAUGGAAGGGAAUGGGUUCUGGAAGGCCCCAGGUGGGCUGGGGUGGGUUCUGGAGACCAUCUUCCAACUCCUGUUCAGGAGGAGGGUUGGUCAGAUCAGCUCUGUGGCCACCUGGGCUCUGGAGGGGCGAGAUACGGGCAGGUGCGGCCACAGGAGGGAGAGCACCAUGUGCGGGGGAAGCCCACAGCUGGAACCAAAAGGCCCCAGGAGGGAUCCUGGCUCUGACAUCUCCCAGCCGUGUGGCCUUGGGCAAGGUCCCUGACUUGGACCUCAGCCUCCUCAUCUGUAAAACAGGCAGAACAGUAAUACCGACCUUGUAGGUUGUAUAGAGUUCAUAUACAUCAAGCACUUACCACAGUGCCUGGCGGACCGCAUGCCCUAAACACACAAUCCGUGAAAUGAAUCCAUCAGCAAGCAGCUGCUAGGGGCAGUGUGGGGCAGAGAGGCAGCUGCCUGCUGGAACUGGCUGACAGGAGGAUGAGUGUGUGGCAGGAGGAACGCUCUGCACAGAGGACACUAGGUAGCGUCACCUGUCUCUUACCCUGUGUCUCCACUGGAAUGGAAUGUCAGACUCGCACCAUGCAUUCCUUUCCCUGCCAAAACGCCUCCUCUUAGCAGUGAGCAAGAAAGUUGUUCGAGUGGAUGAAGCCAAAAGCCCAUUUGGCAAGAGUGCUGUUUUGGAAAAUGCUUAGCGGUGUGGGUUGGGAUGAGGUUUUCUGUGCCUUUCCAUUAUUUCUUCAGCUUCAUGUAACCCUGACUGAGCAAUGCUCAGCAGAGUGAAGGCUGGGCAGCAGAUGGACAAGAUUUUCUCAAACUCCUUUUUAAGCCAAUUUCAAAAUAGAGAGAGGGAAAAAUCCUUGUUUUCUCUUUUCGGUUUUGAGAGGUUUCAUAUGCAGACACAAUUUUAAAUUUUAUUUUUUUUGCCCCCAAUGAGAUGUUUGGAGAUGGUGGUACUAGAACAGGAAGGAAUUUAUAAGUAUUGGGGAAUUUUUCAUCCCAAUUCCCAUAUCCUCCUAUAAUUCAAGGAGUGAAUGGGUAGUGUUUUUGUUUUUGUGAGAGGGGUGGCGGAGGGUAGAGAGAGAAAGAGAGAGAGACAGAGAGAGAUUACAUAGAGGUGUCCAAAAUGAACACAGUAAAAACCAGUUUUGAUUAAUUCUGCAAUAUUAAGUAGGCAGCCAAAAAUUUUGGUCUGCUUAAUUCUUAGCUCAUCUAAGUCUCCAGUUGACUGAUUGAUUGAUUGAAUGACUUAUUCAACAUGCGCUAGCCAGACACUGGUCUAGGGCCCAGGAAUUCAGCAAUAAAUGAAACAAGACCAAAAAAA